GUGAUAAGGCGGCAAAAGCGGCAUACUCUUAAAAAAAUUUCUCAGCUCUUUACACUCGCUUACACAUCCCCAGCUCUCUCCCCAUCUCCUAAGUUCUCUUCCCUGAUGUGGGCUUCAUACGAAUCUCACUUUCUAACGUGCAGCAAGCUAAACACUUGACAGUAUGGAAACCAUGAUUGACAUCUCUCCUCAUGGUGAUUGUGUGUGAAAUGGUUGCCAGAGGCUUGAAAGUACAGAUCCAAUACUAAAAGCAAAAUUAGCUACACACUUACAGUGAGGCUCUUUCGGCAUGCAGUUGACAUUACUCCACAGGUGUGCCACAGUACCGGAGGCCGCCGAAGCGGCAUCUGCGAGGGCCAAGAGAUGGCCGAAAGUUGGGUGAAUUGCAACAUGCAACUAACCUACCUGUUUGAGAGCCUUCUGUAAAACUAGAAAAUGUCUCUGAUCCCAACCAAGUUGCU